rnacentral:rRNA from 1 species
CUCGUAGGUGGCCAACUAAGUCAUACGUGAAAUCCCUCGGCUUAACCGGGGAACUGCGUCUGAUACUGGAUGGCUUGAGGUUGGGAGAGGGAUGCGGAAUUCCAGGUGUAGCGGUGAAAUGCGUAGAUAUCUGGAGGAACACCGGUGGCGAAGGCGGCAUCCUGGACCAAUUCUGACACUGAGGAGCGAAAGCCAGGGAGCAAACG